AGACUCCCUACCUUAGAAGAAGGGAGGUGGUAGAUGAAAUGAACUGUAUGAAGAGCCACUAGCCUGGCCCACACACAGAAGAAGGACUGGCCCGUCUUCUUGAAGCCCAUGCUCUGGUAGAGGGCCAUAGCAGAGAGCUGGAUGGUGCCGGUGUCCAGGAUAACUUCACUGUAGCCCUGGUCCCGGGCAAACUGGAGGACAGUCCUGACCAGGGCUUUUGCUAUCCCCUGACGACGGUGCUCACUGUCCACAAAGAGAUGAAACAGCUGCAACCGCUUCUCCCUCAAGGUGGGAUCAUCAACAGGCAGAGCUCCUACCAUGCCCACCACCUUCUCUUCAGACUCAGCCACCCAGAAGCAGGAGCCACGCUCACUCAGGUAGGAUUUGGUAAUGUCAGACAUGUCUGUGCACAAUGUCAUGUCCACAUACUCCGUCCAGGGUUUUUUGGCAAGGAACCACAGGGCAGGGAAGAGGCUGAUGCUGAACACGAGGGCUAGAAGCCAGGAUCCAGAGACCAGGAGUAGGGCGAGGGGCCCCCCAAGUAAGAGUAUGAGGGUUCGAGGCAGCUUCAGCAAUUGCCGGAAGGUGGCUGGGGCAUGCUCGGCCAUCCCCCGGGAGAGCAAGCCCACAACCCACUGGCGGUCGCUCUCCUGGUAUUUGCGGAUGUGACAAGGAGCCAU
rnacentral:lncRNA from 1 species